rnacentral:sRNA from 1 species
GUGUGUGUGUGUGUGUGCAUGCUCCUGUGCUGUGUGGCACUCACAGUGUCAGGGGAUAACUUGCAGGAGUCAGUUCUCUCCUUCAUGCUGGGUGUUCUAGGAAUCACACUCAGGUUGACAUCCUAGGCAGUGAACAUCUUUUGAACAGACAUUUUUGAUCCCAAAGGGUAGCUAUGUAAAUAGUAACCAUUUCUUAACCUAUGUUUGUGUCCCUUUCAUAAACUAUCAUGAAUAGCUAAGUAAGCAUUGGUUGGUGGCUUAUUUUGGAAUUACAGUCAUCUCUUCAUUGAGCAGCCUGUCAAGAAGGUAAUGAUCUGUAAACUUUGUCAGUGAACCAGGAAAAGCACUUUAAACUAAUUCCUUUUAAAUUAAUUUUUUGACAGUUUCAUAUGUGUAUGAAAUAUAUUCCAGUCACACUCUUCCUUGUAUCACAGGUACAUCCAACGUGCUUUGUAAAUUCUGAUUUUUUUUUUUGCUCUGAGUGAAUGGUAUCUAUUUCACAGUGUGUGCUUUCUUUCUCACUAUAGUGUGGUGGAAGCUUUGGUGGGUUUUAGUACGACCAAAAGGUAGAAAACCCCUACACCGUUAUUUUUCUAAGAAUGAUCAUCUGAUAGAUAUUUUUUAAAGCCACCCAACUGUUACCAGGAGUUAAAGAUACUGUAGCUAAGCUGCUACCUCUUGUCGCUCGCACAAGCACUGCUACCAGAAAUGAUCCUGUUCCUAUGCUAAAACUCGUAUUACCUCCACCAACCUGGCUGGCUUUACUAUGUGCAUUUGCGGACCAGAAACUGUCGCAUAUAUCCCAGAUGUAUAAUUCAUUAUCCUUUGAUGACUGAGUACUAUGCUCAGGCAGCCUCUGAAGAGAACCCCGAACACAUCCCUUCAAACAGACUGAGCCAUGGGGAGAAAGACUGACUGGCUGAUAAGGUUACUCCUGGAAAGGGUUAGGAUCCAAUCGUAAGGGUCUUUAGUCAACCACAUCUCUCUGUAAACCCUUCUGAUCCAGCUCUCCUGCAUCUAGUUAGUGGCUUACUUUGUGAAAGCUGACAGUUAGCACAUGUAAUAUAAGCAGAGGUUUUAAGCCACCGAUCCAGGGGUGUCUGCUCUCAGUGGGGAGAUUAUUGGGGGAGCCAGCUGCCACAUGUGGAAAGGCCCCACUCAGGCCUGCGGAGGAGCACUGAGCCACCCCGGGGUGGGGUAGUUGUCGGACUGUGUCAGCUUAACCGCCAUCUGACUGCAAUGGCAAGAAACAGCCCAAAUGACUCCAGAAAAAGAACUGAGCAGAGGAGCCCCGGGAAACUUAAGGUAGGGAAAACAAAGCAAGCCAAAAUGCCUCUCGGCUUCUUCCUGGCUUCCUGCUCUCAACCAUUGAGUCCUCUAGGCUGGUGUUGCUGCUGUAGAUUAAACCCAAGUUAUUGGCGUUUACUUGCGUGCUUGCAAGGAUUCGCUGUGUUAAACCUGUAUUUAUAAGCCGCCCUUCCUGCGUGGCAGACCGCAUGUACUUACGUCCAAUCCAAGAUCUUUCCUAAGAAUCCAAACUUUACCAUACCUUAAAUAAACCGUUCGUUUUAUUCUAAGAACCCAUUUCUAGAAAGGAUUUCACUCUCCUGAAGACUUGUAACAAUGCUGCAACUCACUGAUCCACACAUCCAACAAACACCUGACAUGUGUUGCACAGAUAUCACGUUAAAAUAGGCACGCUGCACAGACUACAGGCCUUGGCUUCUCACCACUGCACACUGUUUAAGACGCACCAGCAAGGUGCCUGUGGCCACAGGUGACACAGGUCUCGAUGGGUGCCAUAGGUGAUUCUGUGUUGUCAUAGCCUGUUGGUACAAGAAUAAAUCCUCAAGUCCCCUCCAAACCUUCCUGCUUUCUCUCCCGAGAAACCCACCCGAGUCAGUCUUCUAUCUGCCAUCGGCUGAGAAAGUUUGGUCCUUCUGUUUAUAGACAGUAGUAGAGAGCCCGUGUUUUCAUUUACUUCGAAAUGACUUUUUUUCCUAUUUCUAUUUUUAAAAACCUUUUAAAUUACACAAUAUAAGCUCGAAGGUCAGAAGGCAAUUUUAAAAUGGAAAAUUCCCAAUACAAAAGCUAACACAUAUGCCUGUGUAUUGUUUAGAUAAUUAAAAAUGAGAACUGCCUUUAGAAGAAAUAAAAUUCCCUCAGGUAGAAGGAGAGAUAGUGAUGCCCGGACUGAGUCACUGAUGGGGAAGAAAGUGCUUCUGGAGAUGCCGACCACCUUUUCCACCAUUAGUAUUAGAAAACAGAUUGGGAACAGAACUUUACCAGAGGUUGUGUCUGAAUGAAGACUUCCACAGCCUAAGAUAAAUGUGGAAAGGCCUUUUUAUGGGUUCUUUAAUUUUCACCACAAUGAAUUAAGCCAAAAAUAUUAAGUACUGGUCAUCUUAAAUGCCAAGUUAAAUGUUUUAAUUUGAAUGGAAAGUCCCACAUGAAUGUGUCUUUUAUAGUUAACAAUCCACUAAGCUGUAAUAUCAGGAGUCAUUCCAGUCGUGUACAGCUUCCUUCUUCUUCCUGUUCUAAAGAGUGUCAAUAGAUGUGGAGACAUUAAAUUCAGAGUGUGCUACUGUGUCGGCUAGUGCUAAGUCACGUUGCCAUAAUCGUGUAACAGAAUUGCUACUAUAUAAGCGUUUUUCUUAACACCCAAUUCAGGUUUGCCUAACAGUUGAGCAAGAACAAAUGAAUACAAACUUCCUAAAACUCAGGAAGACAUCCAGGUAAUCUUCCAGCUUAGAAUGAAUAUCUGCUUCGUUUCCACCCAGGAUCGUGUACACCUGGCUGCUUGUAAUCACCAUAAUGAAACUUAAUGGAAAUUAAUAAGUGAUUUUGUCAUGGCUUUCGCAGACAGUCUGUAUGGUCUCCGUCUGGCACAUUCAGGGCUUGGGAAACAUUUUCCAGUACUGCCCAGUGUCAGCAUCCCUGGGGCAGAAAGCCCACACAGCUGAAAGGCAGCAUUUGGUGGCCAAUGGAAGCUCCAGAAGAGGAUGAUUAAUAUAAACACGCGUCUGCCUCUGCGUCCCAGCAGCAUUGCACAAAGCAGUGCUCUUUGAGGAGCUCUUUGUGUUUUAAUUUCCACGAGUGCAUAGGGUAAUGCACUUUUCCCCCUUCAUCUGGUUUGAUUUUUGAUAUUUAAGAUCAACUUCUAGGUUUUGUUUAUUUUUUCUUUGCAUUGGAAAAAGAACAUGAAGUGACAACACAAAAUCAGGGAUAAUUGGUAUUUUUCAGGAGGAAAAAAACACCUUUCAUGAUGAGCCAAGGGCAAGCAUUUUACAAAUAGAAUAUCUUGCACUAAACAGUCAUGUUAGUAAAAAAAAAAAAUUUAGUUAUGUUACAUGCAUGGAAGUAUUUGUUAGUUUCAGGUUUAAUCAUUGCAAGUGGUUUUAAUUUAUAUUUCCUUAAAAUUUGGCUAUUACACAAAGCAACUACUUUAAAGGACUGAAUGAUUGUCUUCUCCCCGAAGGAAAGAAACUGAAAGUUGAUUUCAAACUGAAAGGAAUAAUAGAAACAAGGCAUUUUAAAUAAAAAUAAAUAUGGGGAGUAGGUAAACCACUGAGGGCCAGCUUGUUUAAUGUAAGGAGAUUCGUUUCUUUGAAGAAGCAAAAACUCACUAGUUCUUCGCUCUAAAAAUGAUCAGAACCAUACAAGCCAACUAUUUCUUGAUAAAAUGGUGUCGGAUACACAGGGGUCUUCUCGUUGUGCUUUUCGUAAGGUCUGCAUUGUCAGAAUGGGUGAUGACAGCGCUGCUAUUUUGUGUUAUUUUAGCCGUCACUAGCCUUCCUAGUAUUUUUCACCACUCCCACUUGCUGGCAGUAUAUCAUGGCACAGUUUCAACAGAAUGCUGGUACGAGCUGUGAGCUAACUGGGAAAUGUCAACAUGUAAAGCCAUGUCUAGAAUUAACAUGUCUUUAACAAGGGCAAACUCCCACAUUCUCUCUUAAGUAGAGGAGAAGCACAAGCAGAAAGGGGGAGGGGAGGGGUUGGACAAGCAGAUGCCUGAGAAACUUCAAAAGAGAGAGGAAAGAGAGAGAGAGAGAGAGAGAGAGAGAGAGAGAGAGAGAGAGAAUAAUCAUACAAACCCCACCAAGAACAAUGCUGUGCUAUCGAGCCAGAAAACGAUACUGUUCAUGUUUCGAGGAACAAACUCCUUUAAUUAAGAACCAUGUGACCAUAUGAGGAAAACUGUCCCUCCCAAGUGAAAGCCUAGGACCCUUUAGUUUGUUGUGACACAUGCCAUAUCCCUCCUUGUGGAGGAACAUCUGACUUCAAUUGACCAGCUGUGGAGGCUCCUGCUGUGAUAUCUGUCCUAGAGGUAGCAUCAGACUUUAACUUUGGUUGUGAUUGGCCCCAUAGCCUCUUAAUGACAAGAGGUCAGCACUGUGUCUCAGGCCAAGUAAUGUUCUAUAAAUGGCUUCUCUCAGCGCUGCCCCUCCUGCUGAUCUUGGAAAAUGACCAAUAACUUCAUGACAAAUCAGCAAAGGCCUGGGAGGUCAUGACCCCACGUAACCUAAUCAGCAUCUCUAAAUAAUUUGUCAGCGGCAAGUUGACCAGGAGCCAAUGGCUGGAGAGACACCAUUUUCUGCAUACCUGAAGUGUUUCUUGGGUCUGAUGUGGGCUCAUGGGGAUUUCCAUAGAAAAACUGGAAAGGCAAAAGAAUGUGCAUAGGCUCUGGUACUCCUUGAGAAAACAAAAGACGCAAAGGGUAGCUGUCCAAUAAGCAACAGCAGGAGCCAUGGAUGGAAACAGUUCUACAGUGUGAGAAAAAGUCUCGGAGAACGGCAAUCUGGGCUGUCUACAAUAUCAUGACCUCUGCAGGGUCACAUCCAUGACAGAUAUUCCAGAAACUGAGAGGUGAAGGGAUUCAAGGAGUUCUCCCACUCCCGUCUUGAUUUGAGAAACACUGAAAUUGAUAAGUCUACAGUAGACCCCGUGGACAUCUCUACAAAGUACAGGCAUUUGAAAAUUGUAUUUGUGCCCCAACUGCCACUUCUGGUGUUCUAACUUGGUGAUGAAGAAAUGUUCUAUUCUACUAACAUGGACAGGAUUUGCCCAGUACAAGGCACCGCUUCCAGGAAGGUCUUCCACGUCUGUCUAAUGUUGAGAUCUCUCUUCUGGACUCCGGUGAGUUCAGGGUUUUCUCCUCCAGAGCUCAGGGCACUCACAUUGCCUUCCUUCCUCAAUCCUCGGACCACACCCAACACAUCCCUAGGAGGCCGGCAGGAAAUAUCUUUUAAAGGAGUAGAUCAAUUGCUGGAAGCCAAGUAUCUGUAUUUAGGCAAGGAACAAUCACGAAUAUUACUUCCUAGGGUAAGUAGGAAGUUGCUUCUCCCGAGAAUGUUGUAUAUUUCAAAUCAGAGGUGAAUGAGAAUCUUGUCAGAGGUGCUCGCUCUGGUCAGAACCCUGGGAAGGAGAAUGGCAGCGGGCCUGGUAGGGGGAGGAGUUAGGAGCUACACUAAUAGAAGCCUUUGCAAAUGUGCAAAGAUGAGACAAAAACGCACAUGGUUCGCGAAGCAUAACUAGAUAAAUGUGGGUAUUUCGUUAGAGAAUGAAGACAGACCGUGAGCAUGAUGGGAAGACUCAGAAGGACACUGUGAGGAAGACACUGCAUUGCGUCCGUAGACGUGGGAACCCACGAACAGAUUGUAAACAGGUGAGAGACACUGGAGUUACAGUCAGAACGCUUGCAACCUGGAGAAGUGAUUAAAGGAGGGACAGGAGGUAGAAAUGAAGAGCCCAGUGUAGUGAUGCAGGUAAAUUCUAGAUACAGAAUUUGGAUCAACAGGCUUUAGUGAACUGACUGAUAAGCAGGAGAGCCGCCUAUCUAGGACACCUUGGCGUUUGCUCUAGCUUUUCAUGUGGGGGAUGAUCCCAAAUUAGAGUUUAGUAAAUGCUUAGGGAUUUCUGAGAAUUUCAUAAUGUAUUUGAGUGAGGGGUGUUAUAACAGGGAACAUGCUUUAAAAGGAUGUCCUUUACGACGAAAUAGAAUCAUUUUGGAUCAUGCCGUGGAUUUAAUAUGCAACCCCAAAGAGUCAUUUAAACCUUCUGCACCUCAGUACUGCAAAUUCUUUAGUAUAAAUAAUAAAAAAAAGAUAUGCCUCACGGUAAUUUAAUAAAGUGAUUCAAAAGUAAAUUUGUCUGCACGGCAAUUUCUGUUUCCUAAAAGCAAGAUGAAAUACAAUCUCAAUUUCCUCCUCUACUAAAAAAAAUAUUUUUUAGAAGGAGAAGGCUUAAAUGAUUUCAAAUGGCCCUUUCAGCCCCAAAACCAAGAGCUCCGUAAGUCAGAGCAGUUGGCAGGAGCCACAUUCUCCCAGGCGACUGCCUGAUCUGCAACAAGAGCCAAGGGACUUAUGGGAGGUAGAUUGUCUUACUUAAGCACUUCCUGCUGAGUGAGGCAGUACUUCCGGUUUAUUCGUCUUAAUCAUCUUCUGUUCUUUGUUACAUUAUUUUCCAGUGUGGCGCCUCCAUUUUCUCAACAAAUAUUUAUUGAGUACCUACUAUGUGCCAGGGAUUGCAUCAGAUAAAGGUGAAACAAAAUUAAAGAAGACAUCUCCCUUUUGUUACUUUUAAAGUCUGUAAAGCAUAUAUAAGCCCAAACACAUCAUCUUAUAAAGCAAUAUUUAUCAUGUACAUGAUCCUGCUCUAGGAACCACGCCAGGCUAUGCUGUUAAACUUGAUGGACCCGAGAGUAGUAAAACUAUACACUGUAUAAUGUAUUUAUAGUGUACAGCAAGGCAGCAAGGUCCCCAGAGAGAGAAAGGCAAGAAAACUCGUCAUGAGUGUGCCUGCAACACACAUUAUUUGCAAAUCCCCACUUUGUGACUCUGGUUUCCUUAACUGUAGAGAUAAUCUGUCUACUUCUACAGUUCCUUACUUGCUGGUACGAGAACUAACUAACUAAAAGCAUAUUAAUUACUUUCAUCCUUACAAACACCUAAAUAAAUAUUAGGUAUUGUUUAGUAGUGCCAUAUAAAGUCACAUUAAAGUCUAAAGCCUACUGGAAUUAUUCUAAUGGAAAUUUAAGUCCCAAGAUGAAAGACCUUAAGAUAAAUAAACAGGACCACGCCCUGGUGAGAUGUACUCAAGAGCACUGGCAGGGAACUGUCCUAUUGAAAGAUAUGGUGUGUCAGAUGUUAGGUUUCUGCCUGUAAGUCUGGACUAAGUGCAAGGGGAAAGGCAGCUUGACCCCUACUUGGGUUGGCUAGUCUUGACUUUCUGUCUGUCUGUCUGUCUGUCUGUCUGUCUAUUAAUUACCAUCUGCUUAUUUAUUGAGACAGGUUAUCACUAUUGUUAGUCUCCCAAAGUCAUCCUCCUGCCUCAGCUUACAGAGUGCCAGUACAUCUGAGCCCAUUCUUAGUUUUAAAAUGACUGGAUCUGUGUGUCUGGGCCCAGUGUGCACUAAGUGUUCAUAAAAGAGCGUCAGAUCCUCUGAACCUAAAGUGAGCUGCCAAGUGGCUGCUGGGAACAGAGCCGGGGUUCUCUGCAAGAGCAGCACAUGCUUUUAACCACUGAAAUCCAGGUCCUCGUGCUGGCACAGCAGCACUUAACUGACUGUGCAGUCCAGCACCUUUGACUAGAUUGUUUUUAAUACUCAAAUAACGUUUUUAUAAUCCACAGUGAGGUGAGCCUGAAUUGUUUAGAAUAGGGUGGGGCCUGGCUGGAGGAGCAAGCCCUUGGGAGCCCGAACCGGACAAGGCCCCUUACUCCUGCUGCUGUGCUCUGCCUGCUGGCCACAAGAGGGGAAGAGCCUCAUACAGGAUGAACUGACACAGAGGAGGCCUGUGGACUGAAAUUUCUGAAACCAUAAGCAAAAUAAAUGUUUUCUUUAGAUUUAUUUGGACAACAAAUACAGUUUACAGUAUUGGAAAUCUUUUAGGGCUUCAGUGAAACCCAUGCUAAAUCAGAAGCAUGGCAAAUGCCUUCACUGGGGUCAGGAUCUGGAACAGCAUGUUAUUCUUUAAAGAUGAGUGAAUCUCUUUGCCAAUGCAAAUCUCAGUCACUGAAGGUCUGAAUCACAGGCAAAGCUACAAGUUCGACCAAGUUACAUAACUUUCUCUGCCACACAGUCCAAGGUUUUAAGUUACUUUAAAUCAAAUCUCCCCUUACACCUAAACCACAUCUUUUAUCUUCAGUGAUAAAAAAAAAGAAAG